UACAUGGGGUGCAAACGUUGCUCGGAAUUAUUGGGCGUAAAGGGCACGUAGGUGGUCUCUUAAGUCGGAUGUGAAAUCCCUCGGCUCAACUGAGGACGUGCAUCCGAAACUGAGAGGCUAGAGUAUGGUAGAGGGUCGCGGAAUUCCCGGUGUAGAGGUGAAAUUCGUAGAUAUCGGGAGGAACACCAGUGGCGAAAGCGGCCACCUGGACUGCACCUGACGCUGACACGCGAAAGCUAGGGGAGCGAACGGG
rnacentral:rRNA from 1 species